UGGCAUGUCAAUUAAUGGCACCAACUUUAAAGAGCUAAUACACAUGCAUUAGACAGGUUGCUAACAAAAUAAGGCUGGAGGACCCCUCAGGGGUCGUGCUAGUCUUAAAAGCUCCGGAAUUUUUGCGCAUGACAUUCACAAAAAGACCCUGAGCCAAGCUACCGAAGAUACAGGAUGAAACGUAUAACAACCCUUCAUCCAAGUCCUGAGCAGUGCAAUGAAUCUUGUACGACUGGUCAAAGUCAUCAAUACUCCCAGAGAGAAGCAGAGGGAUGACAGAAAGGCUGGCUGCAAUCAAUAUGCUUUUGGUGUUACAGCAGUAAUAUGGACUAUUGUUGCUGGGAUCAACAGACGAAACAACAGACUGAGACGAUUUGAUCUGUGGCUGCGAGCACGAGGGCUAUAAUUUCUACAUCAAGGAAGUUGUUAUGAAUGACGAGCAGGUGGAAUAGACUGCAGAGAUUUCACAACUCAACUCACCUGGCUGGUGAGUGAAUUCAGGAGCUGAUAUUGACAAAUCAUCACACACUUAACAGACUGAUAUCACACACACACUGAAAACACACACACACACACACAUACGCAGCACAAUAAGAGAACUGGAGAUAAUUAGGCUAAUUUCUGUUUGAAGUAUUAUGCAUUUGCAAUGAAAAUAGAACAGAUAAAAGAUGAGACAAUAAUAGAUCUAAAGAGGACCUUGACUGAAUGUUGUUCCAACAAAGAGCAUUUUGUUUGACACAAUUCAUAUUGUCUACUAAACUGAUAUCCUCUCCUAACUUUAUAAAGGAGGGGAAAAACAGCCUAUAAAACUAAAUAUGCUAAAUAUGCAUUAUGUUCAUCAACACUUUGCACCAUGUCACCAUGAUGUGUGUAUCAUAUCAUAUAUUUAUCUCCUGUUUCAGAUUAGACUGCUGGUCUUUAAGCAGGGAGAUAAGGGAUUGAAAUGUGCUGGUGAUAAAUUAUGCCCUGUGUAUAGAUAUAUUCCUUCCUUAUACAACAUGCAAAAUGUAAUAUCUAAAGUGAGAGACAACUGAAUUCAGGUCACAGCGCAGCAGGAAAUCUUCCUUUUCAUGUGAGAUCCAGAGGGGUCACUCUUAUGAACUCAUUAGGAGAGAAAUGCUAAUGUAGCUCUGUUUUUUUUCCUCCCCUCCUUCCUUCUCUCUCUUUCUCUCUCUCUUUUCUCUCCACACCAACUUUCCUGGUUAUUUUAACACAUGCAGAGCCUCGCCGGAGAGUAUAAUGUAUUUUGAUGUCAGGGGAAAGUGUGUAAGGUGUUUGUGACAGCAGCUUCAUUAGAAAGGCUGUCGUUUGUUGCCUUGUCAUCAAGUCACUAAACUGGAAUCAUUACACAGCAAACAAAAGCUUCGUCUUUAUCUCUGCCGGUUUAUUCUGCUGCGGGGAACAGUGCUCAUUAAAUAAAUGAAAAAGACGAUGAAAAAUAAAAAUCUGUAUCUCCUCGGUGAAAUAUGAACAUCAGGUGAACAAAUGACCUCCUCCUCCACUCAGGCCCUCUAAUCAGGAAGAUGGACUCCGCAGUGGUUCUCUCUCCUCGAAGCACAGGACAAUAAAUAAUAAAUCUCUCUCUAACCCAAGACUUCACAAACUCUGCUUCCACUUUAAAGACCAGAAUAUCAAAUUCCAGUAAACUUUUAGGUUCUUUUGGAAAAGAACACAUGAAACCAAAUUAAAUCGUAUUUAUUUCCUUGUUCCUUUAGCUUUAUUUGAAAUGUGCAACAACAGCAACAAUAUUCUACAAUAAUAUUCAUACUUUUGCUUUGCUUCUUAAUUCCUUGAUGUUUUUUCUUUUAUGAUUUUUUUCUGGGGUGCCUCCAUCUCCUUUGUCUGCUUAUUUAAAAAAAAAAUCUAUUGUCUUUUUUCUUAUUCAAUUUUCUAGUAACAUUUAAUCUCAAUAUUUCUUUGAUCAGACAUGUUUUCAGCCUGUUUUAAUCUUAAUCAACCCUUGUGUGUUUUAUUGACUUCCACUUCACUUCCUCAUUAACUGAGGUCCCACAGAACUCACUGCUGUGUGUAUAAAAGGAAUAAAAAAUAAUUCAACAUCUAAUUUUUUAAAUACUAGUUGAUUUUUCAAUUAUUAUUACUGUUUUCUGCUUCUUUUUUUUUUUACACAUUGGAUUCAAUAAAAUAACAAUUAUUAGAGUAACCCUUUACUUUGGGUUUGCACAUUUAAUAAAAAUAAGAAAAUAUGAUCAUAAAGGAUCAUUACACCAAAAAAUGAAAUGUUUCAUGUUUGAAAUAUUAUAGGGGCCAAAAUGUAUCCAUGCUGUGUGAUAAAAAAUCAUUCUCUGACAAAGAAUUGUUUUUUUCUGUUCUACAUAGAGCUGUUUAUACACCAGAGAGGUCGAACUACCUGUUCAACCUUUAAAAAUCCAAUAACAGAAAUUCAAUCAGACCUGUUUGUUUUGUCAGCAUAGAUCACAGAUGUAGAGCAAAUGAAAAUCCUUUGUAUUUAAUGAUGUUUUACAGCUAGCUUCUCUGAGACCCCAACCAGAACUGAUGUGUUAUUUAAAAAAAAAAAAACUGAAUCAGUUCAAAAUCAUGUUUAUGUUUUAACUCUCAUAAAAACAGGAAAUGUCAUGAAGGCAGUAAAACAAUGUAGUGUGUGUUCCUGAGUUGUUAAAAGAAGGCCGGGGGUUAGGAUUAGGACCAGUAUCCCUAACAAAGUC